GAGUUUGUCAUGGCUCAGGAUGAACGCUGGCGGCGUGCUUAACACAUGCAAGUCGAACGAAGCGCCUUAUUUGAUUUUCUUCGGAACUGAAGAUUUGGUGACUGAGUGGCGGACGGGUGAGUAACGCGUGGGUAACCUGCCCUGUACAGGGGGAUAACAAUCAGAAAUGACUGCUAAUACCGCAUAAGACCACGGCACCGCAUGGUGCAGGGGUAAAAACUCCGGUGGUACAGGAUGGACCCGCGUCUGAUUUAGCUGGUUGGUUGAGGUAACGGCUCACCAAGGCGACGAUCAGUAGCCGGCUUGAGAGAGUGAACGGCCACAUUGGGACUGAGACACGGCCCAAACUCCUACGGGAGGCAGCAGUGGGGAAUAUUGCACAUGGGGAAACCCUGAUGCAGCAACG
rnacentral:rRNA from 1 species